AUGGUGCCUCUGGCAGACUCCUCCCCCUCCAGCACUGUUUCACUCUUCUCCUGAUUGCCACCAGCUGCUGUCACUCUCCUCAUCAUCACUUCUGCUCUUAAGGAGCUCCAACGCCUCAAGCCGACGCCAGAUCGUUAACCCUUACGGAAACCACGUUACGAGUGACACCAGUGUGGGUCAUCAGUUAAGCCGUUCCAGUGAACCGGAAGACUCCUCGCCGUACGCUGACCGCGUUAUCACCUCCAGCCACGCCACAAGCCAUCUUCACAUUGGGACCUCGCCGGGACUAAAUCUCAGCCUCACACGGAGAAUCAAUAAACGAUUACUCAUCUGCCA